UCUUCAUUCUAUUAUAAUCUCCAGGUGUUGGGGAGGACCAUAAUAAGAGGAUCUCUGAAAAUCAGGCCCUUCACAGCUCUGGAAGACCAGGGCCAAAUAGGUUCUCAGCAGUUCAUCCAGAAACAGUGUUAAUCCAAUGGAGCACAUUUAUGGCAGUUGGAUCAGUUCUGCUUGGGGUUUUAUUUUGGACACCAUAUUGCUUCAGACUAUAUAUGCCAUCUGAGCUCAAGAUGGACAGUAUUUUCAACUCUGCUGGAAGUCACAGUUGUCAAGAAAAGAUUUCAAACUG